rnacentral:rRNA from 2 species
AGCAACAAAUGCCCUGCUUCCAGGAAAAGCCUCUAAGCAUCAGGUAACAUCAAAUCGUACCCCAAACCGACACAGGUGGUCAGGUAGAGAAUACCAAGGCGCUUGAGAGAACUCGGGUGAAGGAACUAGGCAAAAUGGUGCCGUAACUUCGGGAGAAGGCACGCUGACAUGUAGGUGAAGUGAUUUACUCAUGGAGCUGAAGUCAGUCGAAGAUACCAGCUGGCUGCAACUGUUUAUUAAAAACACAGCACUGUGCAAACACGAAAGUGGACGUAUACGGUGUGACGCCUGCCCGGUGCCGGAAGGUUAAUUGAUGGGGUCAGCGCAAGCGAAGCUCCUGAUCGAAGCCCCGGUAAACGGCGGCCGUAACUAUAACGGUCCUAAGGUAGCGAAAUUCCUUGUCGGGUAAGUUCCGACCUGCACGAAUGGCGUAAUGAUGGCCAGGCUGUCUCCACCCGAGACUCAGUGAAAUUGAACUCGCUGUGAAGAUGCAGUGUACCCGCGGCAAGACGGAAAGACCCCGUGAACCUUUACUAUAGCUUGACACUGAACAUUGAGCCUUGAUGUGUAGGAUAGGUGGGAGGCUUUGAAGUGUGGACGCCAGUCUGCAUGGAGCCGACCUUGAAAUACCACCCUUUAAUGUUUGAUGUUCUAACGUGGACCCGUGAUCCGGGUUGCGGACAGUGUCUGGUGGGUAGUUUGACUGGGGCGGUCUCCUCCUAAAGAGUAACGGAGGAGCACGAAGGUUGGCUAAUCCUGGUCGGACAUCAGGAGGUUAGUGCAAUGGCAUAAGCCAGCUUGACUGCGAGCGUGACGGCGCGAGCAGGUGCGAAAGCAGGUCAUAGUGAUCCGGUGGUUCUGAAUGGAAGGGCCAUCGCUCAACGGAUAAAAGGUACUCCGGGGAUAACAGGCUGAUACCGCCCAAGAGUUCAUAUCGACGGCGGUGUUUGGCACCUCGAUGUCGGCUCAUCACAUCCUGGGGCUGAAGUAGGUCCCAAGGGUAUGGCUGUUCGCCAUUUAAAGUGGUACGCGAGCUGGGUUUAGAACGUCGUGAGACAGUUCGGUCCCUAUCUGCCGUGGGCGCUGGAGAACUGAGGGGGGCUGCUCCUAGUACGAGAGGACCGGAGUGGACGCAUCACUGGUGUUCGGGUUGUCAUGCCAAUGGCACUGCCCGGUAGCUAAAUGCGGAAGAGAUAAGUGCUGAAAGCAUCUAAGCACGAAACUUGCCCCGAGAUGAGUUCUCCCUGAGACUUUAGGUCUCCUGAAGGAACGUUGAAGACGACGACGUUGAUAGGCCGGGUGUGUAAGCGCAGCGAUGCGUUGAGCUAACCGGUACUAAUGAACCGUGAGGCUUAACCUUACA